UAACGGAUUAUUUGUUCGGACGUUUCGACGGAACGCUAAUACCGCAUACGUCCUACGGGAGAAAGCAGGGGACCUUGGCCGCUACCGGGCUAUCAGAUGAGCCUAGGUCGGAUUAGCUAGUUGGUGCGGUGUAAUGGCUCACCAAGGCGACGAUCCGUAACUGGUCUGAGAGGAUGAUCAGUCACACUGGAACUGAGACACGGUCCAGACUCCUACGGGAGGCAGCAGUGGGGAAUAUUGGACAAUGGGCGAAAGCCUGAUCCAGCCAUGCCGCGUGUGUGAAGAAGGUCUUCGGAUUGUAAAGCACUUUAAGUUGGGAGGAAGGGCAGUAAGUUAAUACCUUGCUGUUUUGACGUUACCGACAGAAUAAGCACCGGCUAACUCUGUGCCAGCAGCCGCGGUAAUACGAAGGGUGCAAGCGUUAAUCGGAAUUACUGGGCGUAAAGUGUGUGUAGGUGGUUCAGCAAGUUGGAGGUGAAAUCCCCGGGCUCAACCUGGGAACUGCCUCCAAAACUACUGAGCUAGAGUACGGUAGAGGGUAGUGGAAUUUCCUGUGUAGCGGUGAAAUGCGUAGAUAUAGGAAGGAACACCAGUGA
rnacentral:rRNA from 1 species